rnacentral:rRNA from 1 species
AGCGAGGCAAAGCCGCGAGGCAGAGCGAAUCGCUAAAAGCCGUCCCAGUUCGGAUUGCAGGCUGCAACCCGCCUGCAUGAAGUUGGAAUCGCUAGUAAUCGCGGAUCAGCAUGCCGCGGUGAAUACGUUCCCGGGCCUUGUACACACCGCCCGUCACACCAUGAGAGUCGGGAACACCCGAAGUCCGUAGCCUGACCGCAAGGGGGGCGCGGCCGAAGGUGGGUUCGAUAAUUGGGGUGAAGUCGUAACAAGGUAAC